rnacentral:rRNA from 1 species
UACGAAGGGGGCUAGCGUUGUUCGGAUUUACUGGGCGUAAAGCGCACGUAGGCGGAUCGAUCGGUCAGGGGUGAAAUCCCAGGGCUCAACCCUGGAACUGCCUUUGAUACUGUCGAUCUGGAGUAUGGAAGAGGUGAGUGGAAUUCCGAGUGUAGAGGUGAAAUUCGUAGAUAUUCGGAGGAACACCAGUGGCGAAGGCGGCUCACUGGUCCAUUACUGACGCUGAGGUGCGAAAGCGUGGGGAGCAAACAGG